rnacentral:rRNA from 1 species
ACUACGGGAGGCAGCAGUGGGGAAUAUUGGGCAAUGGGCGCAAGCCUGACCCAGCAACGCCGCGUGAAGGAAGAAGGCUUUCGGGUUGUAAACUUCUUUUAUCAGGGACGAAGCAAGUGACGGUACCUGAUGAAUAAGCCACGGCUAACUCCGUGCCAGCAGCCGCGGUAAUACGUAGGUGGCAAGCGUUAUCCGGAUUUACUGGGUGUAAAGGGCGUGGAGGCGGGAGUGCAAGUCAGAUGUGAAAACUAUGGGCACAACCCAUAGCCUGCAUUUGAAACUGUACUUCGUGAGUGCUGGAGAGGCAAGCGGAAUUCCGGGUGUAGCGGUGAAAUGCGUAGAUAUACGGAGGAACACCAGUGGCGAAGGCGGAUUGCUGGACAGUAACUGACGCUGAGGCGCGAAAGCGUGGGGAGCAAACAGGAGUAGAUACCCCAGUAGUC